AUGGCGGAUGAAGAGGGAAAAGCUCAAAUUUUAAAUCUACCUGGUUCCCAGGUCGAGUUGUAAUUUGAAGAAGCGAUAUCGGUGUGGAGGUCUGGUUCAAGUUCUUUGGAACAAGACAUCAUGGAGGGUGAGAAUCCCGUGCAUGAUCAGACCAAGAUACUUAAUAUUCGCUUUCUAAGAGUCGAGUUGUUUGGGAAUGCAGCUCAAAAUGGGUGGUAGACUUCACCUAAGGCUAAAUAUCAGCGAGAGACCGAUAGCGAACAAGUACUGUGAAGGAAAGAUGAAAAGAACUUUGAAAAGAGAGUUAAAUAGUACGUGAAAUUGUUGAAAGGGAAACGAUUGAAGUCAGUCAUGCUAGUGAAAAUUCAGUUUGGUGGGUUUUGGGUUCAGGAGUUGAGGCAGGGUCAAACCGUUUCUCUUUUGAACUUGGAAUUUGUCAGAUGCACUUUUUCUUUGGCAGGUCAGCGUCGAUUUCGGAGGUUUUAAAAUACUUGGGGAAAAGUAGCUCUGCUUCGGGAGAGUGUUAUAGACCUUGGGUGAUGCGGCCUGUGGGAUCGAGGAUUGCAGCAAAUGCCUUUGGCUUGUCGCCUGAUCUCUGGACGUCAUCUCGCUUGUAUCAACAUUCUUGGUACCGGUGAGUAAUGGUGCUCAUAGGUUAGAGCGAUCAAAAAUUUUGCUAAGGAUGCU
rnacentral:rRNA from 1 species